rnacentral:rRNA from 1 species
GACGAACGCUGGCGGCGUGCCUAACACAUGCAAGUCGAGCGAAUGAAGUUCCUUCGGGAAUGGAUUUAGCGGCGGACGGGUGAGUAACACGUGGGCAACCUGCCUCAUAGAGGGGAAUAGCCUUCCGAAAGGGAGAUUAAUACCGCAUAAGAUUGUAGUAUCGCAUGAUACAGCAAUUAAAGGAGCAAUCCGCUAUGAGAUGGGCCCGCGGCGCAUUAGCUAGUUGGUGAGGUAACGGCUCACCAAGGCGACGAUGCGUAGCCGACCUGAGAGGGUGAUCGGCCACAUUGGGACUGAGACACGGCCCAGACUCCUACGGGAGGCAGCAGUGGGGAAUAUUGCACAAUGGGGGAAACCCUGAUGCAGCAACGCCGCGUGAGUGAUGACGGCCUUCGGGUUGUAAAGCUCUGUCUUCAGGGACGAUAAUGACGGUACCUGAGGAGGAAGCCACGGCUA